AAAGAAGAAGAGGAAGCGUGAUGAAACUCAGGCGUCGCUUGCCGGGUCAAUGCUUAAAUAUGUUCAAGGAGGAUCUCAAGGACAGGAUGAACCAUCCAGUAGUAGUGCCAUCCCUGGACAUCAACCACCAGCCAUUGUAGACCCUGCAACAAUCCCUAGCCAAGAAGAACAAGAACCAUCAACCACCAGUUCAGAGUGAACGAGAUCUUUGGUUUUGCCUUUGCUGACUGCUGAUCUGAUCGUCUCAAGUCUGGUGACCUGCUGCAGAAAACCCUCUCCCUCUAUCAUUAACAAGCAAUUCAGUCUGUCCUAUCACUCUCCCUCUCCCUGCUCCAUCUUUUUGACAAGCCAUUCUAUCUUCUAUCAUUUCUCCGCCAUGAGCUCUAUCUAAGUUGACAAGCUUGAACCUGAGUUGAAACGCAAUCCUGUGACUUGAAAUCAAGUUUUACCAGAAUCUAAGUUUUUGGAAUUGAAGUUACCAGAACUUCGUCAAUCUGUUUUCAGAAUUCUGAGAGAUCUCCGCUCUCACUGCUCCAUCUUUCCUGUCGUUAAACUCUCUCACAUCCAGUCAUUUUGCUGGAAAUUACAAGUAAAAGUUGAAUAUACAGUAAUAGAAUUACAGUACAGUAGAACUCACUGUAGAAACUACUUACAGAGCCCUACAUUUGUCAUUUUAAUUUUUACAUUACACUUUGGAAUAAACACUGAUAGCUUGGCUUACGUGUGCAGUUACUUUGAUAAAUUAUAUAAAAUACACACCUUUUUCAAGGUUUAUUUGUAAUAAGAUAAUCUGGUUAUUUUGUAAUACAUACAUUCAGACUUAUAUUCACAUAAAUAAUAAAUUGGAUCCAAAUAUAUUUUUCAAGUCUGUUUCAUUGGCUAUAACAUUUGACUACAAGUUUAUACUAUUAUUAUUUAAG
ensembl:lncRNA